rnacentral:rRNA from 1 species
UACGUAGGGCGCAAGCGUUGUCCGGAAUUAUUGGGCGUAAAGAGCUCGUAGGCGGUUUGUCACGUCGGCUGUGAAAACCCGAGGCUCAACCUCGGGCCUGCAGUCGAUACGGGCAGACUAGAGUGCUGUAGGGGAGACUGGAAUUCCUGGUGUAGCGGUGAAAUGCGCAGAUAUCAGGAGGAACACCGGUGGCGAAGGCGGUGCUCUGGGCCGGAACUGACGCUGAGGAGCGAAAGCGUGGGGGAGCAAACAGG